rnacentral:rRNA from 1 species
ACGGAAGGCAGCAGUGGGGAAUAUUGCACAAUGGGGGAAACCCUGAUGCAGCGACGCCGCGUGAGUGAUGAAGUACUUCUGUACGUAAAGCUCUAUCAGCAGGGAAGAUAAUGACGGUACCUGACUAAGAAGCACCGGCUAAAUACGUGCCAGCAGCCGCGGUAAUACGUAUGGUGCAAGCGUUAUCCGGAUUUACUGGGUGUAAAGGGAGCGUAGGCGGUACGGCAAGUCUGAUGUGAAAACCCGGGGCUCAACUCCGGGAUUGCAUUGGAAACUGUCGAACUAGAGUGUCGGAGGGGUAAGUGGAAUUCCCAGUGUAGCGGUGAAAUGCGUAGAUAUUGGGAGGAACACCAGUGGCGAAGGCGGCUUACUGGACGAUUACUGACGCUGAGGCUCGAAAGCGUGGGGAGCAAACAGGAUUAGAUACCCUGGUA